CUGAUCAACCCGUCUUAGCACCGGGGACUCGUCUUUCAGACGCUUCUUUCAAGUGUCUGCCUUCUCAACUUUCGCUGGCCUUUUAUGUGACUGCCAGGAAUAUAACGGGUAAACUCCGGUCCUGGUUUGUUGGUUUUCGAGGGACCCUGAAAUGAUGCUAAGGGACAGACGAAGGCAUUCAUAUUGCGACUUACCCAGUCACAUUCUUGGAUCGUCGCGACAAGGAAUACUGCGAAGGCUUUCGCCGAGACCCACUAUCGGAAUGAGAACAAUUUAAAUCCUUUAACGAGGAUCUAGCGGAGGGCAAGUCUGGUGCCAGCAGCCGCGGUAAUUCCAGCUCCGCCAGUGUAUAUCUAUGCUGCUGCGGUUAAAAAG
rnacentral:rRNA from 1 species